GAAAUGCGAUAAGUAGUGUGAAUUGCAGAAUUCAGUGAAUCAUCGAGUCUUUGAACGCACAUUGCGCCCCCUGGCAUUCCGGGGGGCAUGCCUGUCCGAGCGUCAUUGCUGCCCUUCAAGCCCGGCUUGUGUGUUGGGUCGUCGUCCCCCCCGGGGGACGGACCCGAAAGGCAGCGGCGGCACCGUGUCCGGUCCUCGAGCGUAUGGGGCUUUGUCACCCGCUCGAUUAGGACCGGCCGGGCGCCCGCCGGCGUCAAACCCCCAAUCUUUCUAAGGUUGACCUCGGAUCAGGUAGGGAUACCCGCUGAACUUAAGC
rnacentral:misc_RNA from 1 species